GCCACUCUCUGAUAGGCCCUUUUCCGUGUC
rnacentral:piRNA from 1 species